AUUGAACGCUGGCGGCAUGCCUAAUACAUGCCAGUCGAGCGGACGAAGGGAGCUUUUUCCUGUAUUCCGUUGCGGACGGGUGGGUAAUUCCCAGGAAUCUACCUUGCCUUUAGGAAUAACGUCCGUUAGGGGACCCUAAUCCAGCAUACGUUCUUAUUUAGAACGUCAUGGUUCUUCGGACCUAAAGGUUUCUGCUGUGCCUAAGUCGCAUUAGCUAGCUGGUUUGGUAAAGGCCUACCAAGGCGACUAUCCGUAACUGCUCUGAGAGGAUGAUCAGUCACACUGGAACUGAGACACGGUCCAGACUCCUACGGGAGGCAGCAGUAGGGAAUAUUGGACAAUGGGCGAAAGCCUGACGGAGCAAUGCCGCGUGUGUGAAGAAGGUCUUCGGAUUGUAAAGCACUUUAAGUAGGGAAGAAGGGAAGUGAAAUAAUCUAUGGAUGUUUUGACGGUACCAAAACAAAAAGCACCGGCUAACUUCGUG
rnacentral:rRNA from 1 species